CCUACGGGAGGCAGCAGUGAGGAAUAUUGGUCAAUGGACGAGAGUCUGAACCAGCCAAGUCGCGUGAAGGAUGACUGCCCUAUGGGUUGUAAACUUCUUUUAUCUGGGAAUAAAAUGUUCCACGUGUGGGAUUUUGUAUGUACCAUAUGAAUAAGGAUCGGCUAACUCCGUGCCAGCAGCCGCGGUAAUACGGAGGAUCCGAGCGUUAUCCGGAUUUAUUGGGUUUAAAGGGAGCGUAGGGGGAUCGUUAAGUCAGUUGUGAAAGUUUGCGGCUCAACCGUAAAAGUGCAGUUGAAGCUGGGAGUUCUGAGGACAUGAGAGGUGAGCGGAAUGCGUGGUGUAGCGGUGAAAUGCUU
rnacentral:rRNA from 1 species